rnacentral:misc_RNA from 1 species
GAUGAAGAACGCAGCGAAAUGCGAUACGUAAUGUGAAUUGCAAAUUCAGUGAAUCAUCGAGUCUUUGAACGCACAUUGCGCCCCCUGGUAUUCCGGGGGGCAUACCUGUCCGAGCGUCAUUGCUGCCCUCAAGCACGGCUUGUGUGUUGGGCCCCGUCCUCCGAUCCCGGGGGACGGGCCCGAAAGGCAGCGGCGGCACCGCGUCCGGUCCUCGAGCGUAUGGGGCUUUGUCACCCGCUCUGUAGGCCCGGCCGGCGCUUGCCGAUCAACCCAAAUUUUUUAUCCAGGUUGACCUCGGAUCAGGUAGGGAUACCCGCUGAACUUAAGCAUAUCAAUAAGCGGAGGA